CCCUUAGAUGUUCUGGGCCGCACGCGCGCUACACUGAUUCAUGCAACGAGUUUUGUCCUUGGCUGAAAGGCCUGGGUAAUCUUUGAACGUGAAUCGUGCUGGGGAUAGAUGAUUGCAAUUAUUCAUCUUCAACGAGGAAUUCCUAGUAAACGCAAGUCAUCAGCUUGCAUUGAUUACGUCCCUGCCCUUUGUACACACCGCCCGUCGCACCUACCGAUUGAAUGGUCCGGUGAAAUCUUCGGAUCUGAGAGAUGUUGGAUUAAUUUCUGACGCCUUUUGGAAAAGUCGCUUAAACCUUAUCAUUUAGAGGAAGGUGAAGUCGUANCA
rnacentral:rRNA from 1 species